rnacentral:rRNA from 1 species
CACGGAGUUAGCCGGUGCUUAUUCACCAGGUACCGUCAGUAGAGGACGCAUCCCCUUUUUUCUUCCCUGGCAAAAGCAGUUUACGACUCAGAAAGCCUUCAUCCUGCACGCGGCAUGGCUGGGUCAGGCUCUCGCCCAUUGCCCAAUAUUCCCUACUGCUGCCUCCCGUAGGAGUCGGGCCCGUAUCUCAGUGCCCGUGUGGGGGACCAGCCUCUCAGCUCCCCUAGCCAUCGUCGCCUUGGUGGGCCGUUACCCCCCAACUAGCUAAUGGCACGCAACCCCAUCCAAUUCCAAUAAAUCUUUAACCAAGAGACGAUGCCGCCACCUGGUGUUAUGCGGUAUUAAUCCGCCUUUCGGCGGGCUAUCCCCCAGAACUGGGUAGGUUGGUUACGCGUUACGCACCCGUGCGCCACUAUGGUAUUGCUACCACCGUUCGACUUGCAUGUAUUAGGCCUGCCGCUAGCGUUCAUCCUGAGCCAGGAUCAAACUCU